CUGCAGCUGUGCAACAAGCUGGUGGCACUGCUGGCCACGCUGGAGGAGCCCCAGGAGGGCUUGGAGGUUGCCCACAUGGCCCUAGCACUCAGCAUCACUCUGGAUGGGAAAGUGAGUCUGGGAACCCAGAAGGGACUGGCCAGAGCUGCCCAGGUGACCACAGGUGCCUGGAGGCAAGCCAGGUGCUGCUCGGGGUCUGCAUACCUGCUCCUGAGGGGCCUGUGCCCUGACUGCCCCAGGGAGCCACGUCCUCACACCUGCCCCUUUGGCCUGCACCCCAGGGGACCGGCUGAAUAAGCACGUGGCCUACCACCGGCUGGCUGCCCUGCACCACCAGCUGGGCCAUGGCAAGCUGGUGGAGCACUUCUGCCUCAAGGCCCUGUAGCUCUGCAACUCACCGCCGGAGUUUGACGAGGAGACCCUCUACUACGUGAAGGUGUACCUGGUGCUUGGUGCCAUCAUCUUCUAUGACCUGAAGGUCGGUGGGAAGGGGCAGGGCUCGGGGUGUUUCCAGCCCCCUUGGAGUGGGAUCUCCACCCAGACCCCAGGGGCCUGGGUUCCAGCCUUCCUUAGGAAUGGCCCGGUGGCCUCCCUGGAGCUCUGCACAUGGCUGGAGGAACCAGCAAGGUUCGCAGAUACAACCCAGCUCCCAAGCUGGCCAGGCCCCACCCUCAAGAACUCAGUCUCAGCCAGGGAGGCUGACACAUGAGCGGGCAAUGGUGGCCUCUGGGUAAAGAAGGGGGAUUGUAGUCAGGGGGGCCCUCCUGGAGGAGGUGACACCAAACUGAGUCUUGACAGUCAAGUGUCAAGUUGCAUUUAAGAAAACAGGGUCAGGAGAAGGACAUUUUGGAGGAUGGCAUCAUCCUCACAUUGAAUCCACAUUGCAAGAUCCAACUCAAAUCCUAGUGCCUCCUCUAGGAAGCCUGCCCAGGGUGCCAGCCUGCACUGAGCAACUCCUUCCUGGAGUCCCGAGACACCUUGAAUCUUCACAUUACCCAGGAAGGGUCCCACGGGUGGGACCCGUGUCUUACCAUCCGCUUCACAGACAGGGGAACCCCAGCUCACGGCAGGUGCAGUGGGGCGGGGCCCCAGCCAGCCAGGCUGAGACCUUGCUGGGUCAGGUCUGUCUCAAGGGGAGGUGCUGUGCUCUCUGCCCCCCGCCCUGCAGGGAUGGAGAGCUGGGACUGGCAGACUCAGACCUGGGGUGCCUCCA
rnacentral:lncRNA from 1 species